rnacentral:rRNA from 1 species
UACGUAGGGUGCAAGCGUUGUCCGGAUUUAUUGGGCGUAAAGAGCUCGUAGGCGGUUCGAUAAGUCGGGUGUGAAAUCUCCAGGCUCAACCUGGAGUCGCCACUCGAUACUGUCGUGACUCGAGUCCGGUAGGGGACCAUGGAAUUCCUGGUGUAGCGGUGAAAUGCGCAGAUAUCAGGAGGAACACCAGUAGCGAAGGCGGUGGUCUGGGCCGGUACUGACGCUGAGGAGCGAAAGCGUGGGGAGCGAACAGG